rnacentral:misc_RNA from 1 species
UUUCCGUAGGUGAACCUGCGGAAGGAUCAUUAAUGAGUUGUCCUGGGGUUCGAUGCUGGCAGCCAGUUUUUGGAUGCAUGUGCUUGCCCUAACAAUCAUCUUCUUCCAAACACCUGUGCACAUUUUUGAGGGAGUCUUGAGUUGGUUGCCGCUCUUGGGUGGUUUUCUCACAUUCCCUUAAAUCAUUAUACGCUAUUAACAAUGUUGAACGUGCUCUGUGCCGCAAGGCCAUUAAUAUAAUACAACUUUUAACAACGGAUCUCUUGGCUCUC